UCCCUGGUGGUUCAUAUGGUAAAGUGUCUGCCUACAAUGCAGGAGACCCAGGUUCAAUCCCUGGGUCGGGAA
rnacentral:tRNA from 1 species